rnacentral:misc_RNA from 1 species
UUUCCGUAGGUGAACCUGGGGAAGGAUCAUUAUCAUACAAAAUGUAAGGGGCAUGCGAGGGCUGUCACUGACCCACAAGUCGUACAAGCCAGAGUGUGUCCUCUUGCAUAAUAAUCAAUCUCUCCCUUUGUGCAUCACCGCAUGGUCACCCUUCGGGAUCAUCCCGGGAGGGGGCUCGCUGUUUAACGCAAACCCCCCUGUUAGAAGCCUAGACUGACCACAUUUAUGCAAUCAAUACAACUUUCAACAACGGAUCUCUUGGCUCUCGCAUCGAUGAAA